UACGUAGGGUGCGAGCGUUAAUCGGAAUUACUGGGCGUAAAGCGUGCGUAGGCGGUGAGCUGUGUCCGAUGUGAAAGCCCCGGGCUUAACCUGGGAAUGGCAUUGGAAACUGGCUCGCUGGAGUGCGGCAGAGGGGGGUGGAAUUCCGCGUGUAGCAGUGAAAUGCGUAGAGAUGCGGAGGAACACCGAUGGCGAAGGCAGCCCCCUGGGCUAACACUGACGCUCAGGCACGAAAGCGUGGGGAGCAAACAGG
rnacentral:rRNA from 1 species